AAAUGAAUUGACGGGGGCCCGCACAAGCGGUGGAGCAUGUGGUUCAAUUCGAUGCUACGCGAAAAACCUUACCUGGGCUUGACAUCCCGGGCUACCCUGUGAAAGCAGGGGUUCCCUUCGGGGACUCGGAGACAGGUGCUGCAUGGCUGUCGUCAGCUCGUGUUGUGAGAUGUUGGGUUAAGUCCCGCAACGAGCGCAACCCUCGCCCUUAGUUACCAUCAUUAAGUUGGGCACUCUAGGGGGACCGCUUGGCUAUAAGCCAGAGGAAGGUGGGGAUGACGUCAAGUCCGCAUGGCCCUUAUGUCCAGGGCAACACACGUGCUACAAUGGAGGGCACAAAGCGCUGCUAACUCGCAAGAGUAUGCUAAUCGCAAAAAUCCCUCCUCAGUUCGGAUUGGAGUCUGCAACUCGACUCCAUGAAGUUGGAAUCGCUAGUAAUCGCGGAUCAGAACGCCGCGGUGAAUACGUUCCCGGGCCUUGUACACACCGCCCGU
rnacentral:rRNA from 1 species